rnacentral:rRNA from 1 species
GACGGAGGCUGCAAGUGUUAUCCGGAAUCACUGGGCGUAAAGCGUCUGUAGGUGGUUUAAUAAGUCAACUGUUAAAUCUUGAGGCUCAACCUCAAAAUCGCAGUCGAAACUAUUAGGCUAGAGUAUAGUAGGGGUAAAGGGAAUUUCCAGUGGAGCGGUGAAAUGCGUAGAGAUUGGAAAGAACACCGAUGGCGAAGGCACUGUACUGGGCUAGUACUAACACUCAGAGACGAAAGCGAGGGUAGCAAAUGGG